UCGGGAAUUUUGGGCAAUGGGCGAAAGCCUGACCCAGCAACGCCGCGUGAAGGAUGAAGUAUUUCGGUAUGUAAACUUCGUAAGAAUAGGAAGAAUAAAUGACGGUACUAUUUGUAAGGUCCGGCUAACUACGUGCCAGCAGCCGCGGUAAUACGUAGGGACCAAGCGUUGUUCGGAUUUACUGGGCGUAAAGGGCGCGUAGGCGGUGUGUCAAGUCAGUUGUGAAAUCUCCGAGCUUAACUCGGAACGGUCAACUGAUACUGUCACACUAGAGUACAGAAGGGGCAAUCGGAAUUCUUGGUGUAGCGGUGAAAUGCGUAGAUAUCAAGAGGAACACCUGAGGCGAAGGCGGGUUGCUGGGCUGAUACUGACGCUGAGGCGCGAAAGCUAGGGUAGCAAACGGGAUUAGAUACCCAGGUAGUCCCUGAGCGGGCUGGCAAGGCGCAU
rnacentral:rRNA from 1 species